rnacentral:lncRNA from 1 species
CUUUUUUUAAUCACUUUUGACAUUGUUAGUCAGCAGGUUUGCUGACACCCAGUAACUUGAUAGGGGAGUAUUUUUGAAUAUCAAACAGUGUCAUCCUUUUGACUAUUUUUUCCUCUAUUGAAGAGAAGAAUGAAUUUGGUGAGAACCCUGGAGAAGCACUAACAUUUUGGCAGAAGGAAGGUCUAUACUAUACAGUGCUGGUGGAAGGAAACACUUUCCUAGUAUAGAAAAAAGCAUUAAAGGUGAAAAUUGGACAGCACAGAGUUGCUGUGAAGUAUAUAAUUGCAGUCUGUGCUGCACACUCAACAGAAUUAACUCUGGGAAUCAGCUAUGUUUACCUUCUGCAAGCUUUCAGUGAUAACAAAAGCUGAAGACUGAGAAGUUGUUUCAGAUCAGAGCUCUAAACUGUGAAAUAGAAGAUGGC